rnacentral:rRNA from 1 species
CGAACGUGGGUAACCUGCCUUAUAGUGGGGGAGUAGCCUUUCGAAAGGAAGAUUAAUACCGCAUAAGAUUGUAGUAUCGCAUGAUAUAGCAAUUAAAGGAGCAAUUCGCUAUAAGAUGGACCCGCGUCGCAUUAGCUAGUUGGUGAGGUAAUGGCUCACCAAGGCGACGAUGCGUAGCCGACCUGAGAGGGUGAUCGGCCACAUUGGGACUGAGACACGGCCCAGACUCCUACGGGAGGCAGCAUG